CGUCAACAUUUCAAUUCAAUCGUUUGUUAAACUCAUUUCAAAUGUGAAUCAAGCUCGUGAUCUGAUCCAAUACUUGAUUCCUACACUUAAUUUAAGUUAAGAUCUAUACUAAUUUUGUAGUUUUAUCCGUGAAGAACUAGGGUUUUUAACGUAACAAUAAUGGCACGCAAGAAGAUCAGAGAGUAUGAUUCAAAGAGGCUGGUGAAGGAGCAUUUCAAACGGAUUUCUGGUUCUGAUUUGGCUAUUAAAUCAGCACAGGUACACGAUUCGGUUUUGUAUUGGAUUGGAUUUUUAGGGUUUGUUUCGUGUGCUAAUUGUUUGUAGGGCAAGAUGUAAUUGUAACUGUAUUGUAUUAGCUGGAUCUCGAACUUAAAUGGUGACUGAUUAGUAUUGGAUCAUGUGUACUGAUUCUGGAAGUGUUUGUUUGAUCUGAUCUGUAGUUUUAGGGGGUGUUUGGAUGUCGUUUAAGAUUGAUGUAGAGUUGGAGUUUAGAUAUUAAUAUUGAUUGGUGAUUAUCUUAUUCUGAUAAUGAUUUUUUUCAAGUGACAUAAUGUUGGAAUCAGUUUUUAACACAAAUCUAAACCUCUCUUACUCUAAAUUUACCUGACAUGUGUAGCAUUUAGGGGGUGAAUAGGUGUGUGCGUAAACUCGUAAAGUGAUAAAAAAGUGUUUGGCAUACAAUAUUAUGAUUCUGAUACGCUGAUUGUUUAGUCUGUUACCUUUAAUCGGUUAACUGAUUAUGGAUUUUCAAAUCACCAUAAACAAUUUGAAAAGGCACAUUAGAAAGCCUUGAUGUAGUUAGAGCACUUUUUAUUUUUUUUGUGAAUAGGCUAAAUAACACCAUGAUUUCUUGAUGGCAGUAGUUUUGGCCAACUAUUGUUUAGACUUUAGAUAUAGUUUUUGUAAAUCUAAGAAGUAAAACUGAAUGGAGGAUCCGUUUUGUUCCAUAUGUUCUUGGAAAGACGCUAAUAUAUCAAUGGUUAUAACUUUAUAUUUACUGGCAAGAAGAAGAAAAAAGGUUAUAAAGUCCUCAAAUUGAUUGUUUGCUCAUAGGUAAGAUGGUAUUACUUUUUUAUGAGCAAGCACAGAUUCUUGUAGCAAUAAUGUUUGUAGUAUCUUAGUUUCGAACUCUUGAUGAUUUAUGUUUGUAGCAUGCUCAAACAUUGUUUCGAGAUAAGAUUAUUGAUUAACACAUCUCUUUUUGUUACGUUAGAUUACUGAAAAUACAGACUUGAAUGAGCAGGAUAAACGGUUGAAUCAUACACAAAAUCUACAGACUCGAUUAGGUUUAGUUUCAAGAAAAUUGUCUUUAGAUUGAUUCUGUUUGUGUAUGAAUAAUGUUACAGUGGACUGUUUUUUAUGCGAAAUGUAAAAUUUGAAGUUUUAUUCAGUGAUUAGUUGCAAUAGAAUCGUCAAUAUCUCUUGAAGAUAUUUGACAUGAUAAUUGCAGUUUUAGGUUAAGCUUUUAUUGAGAACAGUAGGUAUUGUUAUAAAUUUGUGUUUGCUUGGUUAUUUGGUCUGCAGUAAAUAUUAUUACAAAUUUGGUUUGCAAAACUUUAUGUGUUAUGGGUUUUAUGUUAAAAAUGGAAAUCUUUAAUGUGUUAGUCAAUUAAUCGGGUGAUGGUGAAUCUGGAUUUGUAUAUGGUCAAGUGUUAUUACACAAUUUGGUUUGCAAAAAUUGAUGUGUUUUUGUUUUUAUGUAAAAAGUGGUAAGCUUUAAUGUUUAUAGUCAAUUAAUCGUGUCAAUAAUUAGAGAUGUACAAAAAAAAACCGGUUUUACUACCGAAACCGUUUUUUAACAGGUUUUUAACCAGUUUUUUAAAACCGGUUUUAGAAUCGAACUGAACCAUUUUUAUGAGCUAUUUUUUUUGUCUCUUAUGUUAUGUAUCUUUGCGUUGUUGGCUCCGUAAUGUUCUGCGUAUGCUUGGCUGAGAGGUUCUUCAAACUAUCAAAGAAAAUGUUGAUCGGUGAAUCCAUGCUCACUUGAGUCGUCAGCUGCAUCAAAGGUUGGACUUAUGAGGUCCCUAGAAGCUCAGAUGUUGCUGGCAAUGAUGAUAUAAGGAGUUUGUUAUAUCUUUAUUUACUACCUUGCUACUUUUAAGUUUUAACUAACUUGAGGUGUGCCAAUUUUGUGUAGUAAUCAAUAAUACUUUAUUAAGGAGACGAUUGAAGCUUAAGCGACUUCAAUGUUACAGGUUUGGAUGUUUGGUAAUUUGUUAUGCAUUCUUCAGUUUUGUUUUUUGAAGAAUUACAGGUUUUGGGGUUCGUGACUUAGUGAGCAUAGUUUUGAAGAAUUCGACGAUGUGUUUCAUCCAGUCCUGUUGCGUGAGAUCCGUUUGAGUAUUCGUCCUGAUGCUUUUAAAUUUGAGUAUCAUCCGGAUGUGUGUAGAGGAAGGAAUUGUGGAGGUCAGUUUCAUCAAAUGAAUGAAGCUUAUGAUUGAUGACGAGGAUGAUGAAGAAGCACUUAUGGCAGAGCUUGAAUUACUAAGAAAGGAAAGGGUCGAUUAGAGAUCCUGAAGAUGAGGUUUACGAAUCUUCACUCACAUAAGCGUUAUCUCAGCGAGCUGAAGAGAAAUUGAUCAUGAGGUACUGGAUAAUAUCGAAGUUUAUGGUGUUACUUGUAUGUUGUUUCUUUUAUUGAUUGUUAAUGUGAUUCAGUAAGCAUCAAUUGUAUAUUCUAAUUUGGCAUCUGCUAUAGGCAUUUGGUAUGAUCGUCAAUGUAAAAUGUAAGAUCUCAGUGUUGAUUAUGUAGUUGUAAGUGUUUGAUUAGGUUUGAAAAUAUUUGAUUUAAGGUUUUUAAUCCUUGAUCAACUUUGGAAUUGUUUGUUACAGAAACUUGGAGUGUGGUGUAAGGCGCGAAAUGAUCGGUGGGAGUUAGGCUAUAGGGUGUGGUCAUGACCCUCAUGACCACCAUGGUCCUCCACAUAGGCACCAUGUCAUCCAUUUUUAAUUCACCAUUUAAAACCUUUAAAACCACUACCCUAAGGGUGUGGUCAUGACCCAAACCACUAUCCUAUUUAUUUUUUUAAUUUAUUUUUGUCUUAAGAUUUUCAAAUGAGAGGGUCGUGGCAAUCGUGGUUUAAUCCAUGGGAACCACCAUCAAUCAAGGAAGGGGAUGGUAUACCAUUUAAUUAAUGGUCCUAUGUGGAAAUAAUGUUCCAAUCCAUGACCCCCACGAGGAUUGAAUGAGUGGUUGGUUAACAAGUGACUGUUAGGCUUUUGAAUGGGAAUGUGAGUUUGGUGAAGAAGUGAUUGUUAGCAGGUUAUUUAUGUUUUAUCUGUAUUGUUUAAUAAUAAAACAUACCACUAGCGAGUUUGUUAUCCUGUAUGUUUAUUUUUUUUCCUUUUUAUUUUAGCACGUUGACUUACUGUAUGAAACAACCAAAGCUACAACAAAUCAUCUAAGCAAAAGGGAUUGAUAAUGAAAAGGAGAACGGUUCGGUGUCACAGGCAAGAACAAGAUCUGGCUACACUAUUCAGAUGUUAUAUUUUCCGAUGGAUGCUGUUGUUGCCAUUGCCUCUGCUGCCGCUGCUACUAAAUGAUAUAUUAGAUAAUCUAUAUUGGUUUAUAAUUGCAACAGUGUUGGUUUAAAAUAUAUUGGGUUGGAACUAAAUGAUGUAUUAGAUAAUAUAUUUUUAAUUACUGUGUUUUCUAUGUUAGUGAAAUUAAAUCAUUUAGUGAAAUUUAACA